UACGUAGGGUGCAAGCGUUGUCCGGAAUUAUUGGGCGUAAAGAGCUCGUAGGCGGUUUGUCGCGUCUGCUGUGAAAACUCAGGGCUUAACUCUGAGCUUGCAGUGGGUACGGGUAGACUAGAGUGCGGUAGGGGAGACUGGAAUUCCUGGUGUAGCGGUGAAAUGCGCAGAUAUCAGGAGGAACACCGGUGGCGAAGGCGGGUCUCUGGGCCGUAACUGACGCUGAGGAGCGAAAGCAUGGGGAGCGAACAGG
rnacentral:rRNA from 1 species